rnacentral:rRNA from 1 species
UACGUAGGGGGCAAGCGUUGUCCGGAUUUAUUGGGCGUAAAGAGCGUGUAGGCGGCCCGGUAAGUCCGCUGUGAAAGUCGGGGGCUCAACCCUCGAAUGCCGGUGGAUACUGUCGGGCUAGAGUGCGGAAGAGGCGAGUGGAAUUCCUGGUGUAGCGGUGAAAUGCGCAGAUAUCAGGAGGAACACCAAUUGCGAAGGCAGCUCGCUGGGACGUAACUGACGCUGAGACGCGAAAGCUAGGGGAGCGAACAGG